rnacentral:rRNA from 1 species
AUACCCUGGUAGUCCACGCUGUAAACGAUGUCGACUUGGAGGUUGUUCCCUUGAGGAGUGGCUUCCGGAGCUAACGCGUUAAGUCGACCGCCUGGGGAGUACGGCCGCAAGGUUAAAACUCAAAUGAAUUGACGGGGGCCCGCACAAGCGGUGGAGCAUGUGGUUUAAUUCGAUGCAACGCGAAGAACCUUACCUACUCUUGACAUCCAGAGAACUUAGCAGAGAUGCUUUGGUGCCUUCGGGAACUCUGAGACAGGUGCUGCAUGGCUGUCGUCAGCUCGUGUUGUGAAAUGUUGGGUUAAGUCCCGCAACGAGCGCAACCCUUAUCCUUUGUUGCCAGCGGUUCGGCCGGGAACUCAAAGGAGACUGCCAGUGAUAAACUGGAGGAAGGUGGGGAUGACGUCAAGUCAUCAUGGCCCUUACGAGUAGGGCUACACACGUGCUACAAUGGCAUAUACAAAGAGAAGCGACCUCGCGAGAGCAAGCGGACCUCAUAAAGUAUGUCGUAGUCCGGAUCGGAGUCUGCAACUCGACUCCGUGAAGUCGGAAUCGCUAGUAAUCGUGGAUCAGAAUGCCACGGUGAAUACGUUCCCGGGCCUUGUACACACCGCCCGUCACACCAUGGGAGUGGGUUGCAAAAGAAGUAGGUAGCUUAACCUU